GAUGAACGCUGGCGGCGUGCCUAAUACAUGCCAGUAGAACGCUGAAGGAAGGAGCUUGCUCUUUCCGGAUGAGUUGCGAACGGGCGAGUAACGCGUAGGUAACCUGCUAGGUAGCGGGGGAUAACUACUGGAAACGAUAGCUAAUACUGCAUAACAGUAGCUGUUGCAUGAUACCUACUAAAAAGGUGCAUUUGCACCACUACCAGAUGGACCUGUGUUGGAUUAGCUAGUUGGUGAGGUAACGGCUCACCAAGGCGACGAUACAUAGCCGACCUGAGAGGAUGAUCGGCCACACUGGAACUGAGACACGGCCCAGACUCCUACGGGAGGCAGCAGUGGGGAAUUUUGGACAAUGGGCGGAAGCCUGACCGAGCAAUACCGCGUGGGUGAAGAAGGUUUUCGGGUUGUAAAGCCCUUUUGUAGGGAAAGAAAAGCAGGAGGGUAAGAAACUGCUGCUUUGACGGUAACCUAAGAAGAAGGGACGGCUAACUUCGUG
rnacentral:rRNA from 1 species